UUUAAUGUUUUUCUUCUGUAUAUAACAUGUAUAAUAUUAAAUGCUCUAUUUAUAGUCUGUAAUUUUUUCAGCGGUUCUUAAUCAGUCCGGUGGAGUUGAAGGUGGAGGUGGAGCAGCAACAACAACUACAGCUACAACAACUACAGCUACAACAACUACAGCUACAACAACUACAGCUACAACAACUACAGCUACAACAUCAAUGACAACUACAACAGAACCUUGUAUUGAUGACCCACGUCUCAAUUGCGAUAUUGAAGCCUGCGAUACAGGCUUAGCUAUGUUUUGUCCGGUUACUUGUAAUUUGUGUCCAUAAUGUAGUAGGUGUCAAGCAAAUAAAGAUUAACGUUUA